CGGGGAGGUAGUGACGAAAAAUAACGAUACGGGACUCAUCCGAGGCCCCGUAAUCGGAAUGAGAACACUUUAAAUCCUUUAACGAGGACCAAUUGGAGGGCAAGUCUGGUGCCAGCAGCCGCGGUAAUUCCAGCUCCAAUAGCGUAUAUUAAAGUUGUUGCGGUUAAAAAGCUCGUAGUUGAAUCUGUGUGUCACAGUGUCGGUUCACCGCUCGCGGUGUUUAACUGGCAUUAUGUGGUACGUCCUACCGGUGGGCUUAGCUCCUCGCGGGCGGUCCAACUAAUCUCCCAUCGCGGUGCUCUUCACUGAGUGUCGAGGUGGGCCGGUACGUUUACUUUGAACAAAUUAGAGUGCUCAAAGCAGGCUAYCUUUGCCUGAAUAUUGUGUGCAUGGAAUAAUGGAAUAGGACCUCGGUUCUAUUUUGUUGGUUUCCGGAACCCCGAGGUAAUGAUUAAGAGGGACAGAUGGGGGCAUUCGUAUUGCGACGUUAGAGGUGAAAUUCUUGGAUCGUCGCAAGACGGACAGAAGCGAAAGCAUUUGCCAAAAAUGUUUUCAUUAAUCAAGAACGAAAGUUAGAGGUUCGAAGGCGAUCAGAUACCGCCCUAGUUCUAACCAUAAACGAUGCCAGCUAGCGAUCCGCCGAAGUUCCUCCGAUGACUCGGCGGGCAGCUUCCGGGAAACCAAAGCUUUUGGGUUCCGGGGGAAGUAUGGUUGCAAAGCUGAAACUUAAAGGAAUUGACGGAAGGGCACCACCAGGAGUGGAGCCUGCGGCUUAAUUUGACUC
rnacentral:rRNA from 1 species